GAUGAACGCUGGCGGUAUGCCUAACACAUGCAAGUCGUACGAGAGUUUUUAACUCUAGUGGCGGACGGGUGAGUAACACGUGAGAAUUUGCCUUUAGGAGGGGGACAACAAUUGGAAACGAAUGCUAAUACCCCAUAUGCUUUCGAGUGAAAUGGAUUUUAUCCGCCUAGAGAGAAGCUCGCGGCUGAUUAGCUUGUUGGUAAGGUAAGAGCUUACCAAGGCGACGAUCAGUAUCUGGUUUGAGAGGACGAUCAGACACACUGGAACUGAGACACGGUCCAGACUCCUACGGGAGGCAGCAGUGGGGAAUUUUCCGCAAUGGGCGAAAGCCUGACGGAGCAAUACCGCGUGAGGGAAGAAUGCCUAUGGGUUGUAAACCGUCUUUUUUCAGGGAGGAAUAAAAUGACGUGUACCUGAAGAAUAAGCAUCGGCUAACUCCGUG
rnacentral:rRNA from 1 species